rnacentral:rRNA from 1 species
GGAGUUUGGUCCGUGUCUCAGUACCAAUGUGGGGGACCUUCCUCUCAGAACCCCUACUGAUCGUCGCCUUGGUGGGCCGUUACCCCGCCAACAAGCUAAUCAGACGCAUCCCCAUCCCUUAGCGAUAAAUCUUUGCUCCUCGUUAGAUGCCUGCAAAGGAGAACAUAGAGUAUUAAUCCGACUUUCGCCGGGCUAUCCUCUACUAA